rnacentral:tRNA from 1 species
GGGCGGUAUUUGAGGAUGCGCACACGCUCCGGCUCACGACCGGCGAGACCAUCCGUUCGAAGCAGGUACUGAUCGC